CCGCCGUUCCCUACGCCGGCCUGCGCCCGCCCGGCCCCGGCCCCGGCGCCCGCCCCCGAUGCCCGGAGCUGGGGCUACCCCCGGCCGCCCCGCUCCCUGGCGAGGCGCGUCCUAGCGGCGAGGCGCUGCCGCGCCGCCAUGUUCUGCGCGCGCCCCAACGGCCGCCGCCGCCCCUGGCGCGUGAGGAGAGCUGCCGAUAAUUGCUUGCAGAUCUUGGUCUACCAUUACUGUUGUUAUUCUGUUUUCCGAUUAAACUUCUGAAGCAGAGAAAAUAGGCGGAAAGGUACUUGAAGAUAAUAGUUUGGCUUUUGGUGACAUCGUCUUGACUUUGUAUAUGUCCUUAACGUGCACAGCCUAGAGAAGUGGAGCAUUGCUGGCUUAGGGACCUGGUCUCCUCGUUGCAAGAAUUUCUGAGGCUCUUCUGGAAUCAGGUGGGAGCCAAACUGAGGGUGYGUUAUUCCUUAAAACAAGCAUGGGAACUUUUAAGGAGGUUCCAUGUUGCAGGGGUUUCUCUGACAUUUCAGAUCUUUGCCUUUGUAACUGUAAGUGUUCUUCAUUCUGGUCAGCAUGCRCGAAAUCAAAUAAAUUAUUUCAGAAAGACGACCCUUUCCUUUUGCUGUGUAUACUGAAGUGAUGGCACACUUUACUAUAUAACUUCUUAAUUUACAAAAUGCUCUAAGAAUCAUCAGAGAAAAAAUGCCAUACAAAGGGAUACCAUAAUGAUGAGGAUGAUAUGGUUAUGAAAAUUUUGGCUUGGAAACUGAUGUUAGCAUGUUAUCAGACAAAAAGGAAAUAAUUUUGAAUUUACAUGAAAUUUGAGACAAGAAAUUUUAGCUCUGCUGGAAAGCUGUAUGUUGGAUUCUAUUCAAUGUACUUUUAGAAGAGGAAGGAAAAGUCAUAUUAAGCCAUUUUAGUAUCUGAAUAUAGUAUAUCAUUUUAGAUUAACACUUUUAACAUUUCCAGG
rnacentral:lncRNA from 1 species